CCUACGGGAGGCAGCAGUGAGGAAUAUUGGUCAAUGGACGAGAGUCUGAACCAGCCAAGUAGCGUGAAGGAUGACUGCCCUAUGGGUUGUAAACUUCUUUUAUAUGGGAAUAAAACAGGGUAUGCAUACCCUCUUGUAUGUACCAUAUGAAUAAGGAUCGGCUAACUCCGUGCCAGCAGCCGCGGUAAUACGGAGGAUCCGAGCGUUAUCCGGAUUUAUUGGGUUUAAAGGGAGCGUAGGUGGAUUGUUAAGUCAGUUGUGAAAGUUUGCGGCUCAACCGUAAAAUUGCAGUUGAAACUGGCAGUCUUGAGUACAGUAGCGGUGGGCGGAAUUCGUGGUGUAGCGGUGAAAUGCUUAGAUAUCACGAAGAACUCCGAUUGCGAAGGCAGCUUACUGGACUGCAACUGACACUGAUGCUCGAAAGUGUGGGUAUCAAACAGGAUUAGAUACCCGAGUAGUC
rnacentral:rRNA from 1 species